AAUUUUGAAACUUUUAAUCACUGGACGACCAAAUUAAAUAUUGGGAUUUUGAUUUUUUAGGGUUUUAGCUCACUGGGUGAGUUUCCCUCAGAAACCCAUCUCUUAAAGAUGGCAUUUUUAUUGUUCUGUACUAAUUGUAUUUUUUUAAACUGAAUUUCAGUUCUGUUAGUUGUUAACAUAGUUGGCAUAAAUGGGAGCUAUAGCGCCAUACCACAGCAGAAUUUGAACAAAUUUAUAUUGCUCCGCUGUAAGCUGUUUAGUACAAAAUGUUGUCAAAUAGAAGCUAUGGCAUUGCUAUAGUACUUUGGCGUAGCGGAAUCUGAAUCGGUUUCUAUUUUCUGUGAUCCACUAUUCACAACACUGGAGUGUAUUAAGUCUAACCCGACCAAUUCUGGAUUAGGUAAUGUUCAUUUUGAUGGGAGGUUGUUACUGGGGUGGAUGAGGAUGAUCUCUUAUAAUGCAGGAAACAAUUGCAUGAUUUGUUUGUUUUCUUGGUUAAAUUGCAUUAGGUAGUUAGUUUGUGGUAGUAGAUCGUAUGACAUGGUGUUUCCUGUUGUGAAGUUCAGGAUGGUUGAAACCGAGAUGAACAACUCUUUAGCUUCUGUUUUAGUAGUUGUGUGAAAUAGUAGAUAAGAUUUUGUGGCUCUAAUCCAUUGUUACGUAUUGUGAUAGUUCUCUUUGCUGUGGAGUUUAGUUUAGACAAGUAGUCUAUUUUAUAUUGGGAAUUUAGAAUGCACAUUGUGUGUACACAAUCAUGUAGUCUAUUUUACUGCUACCUUAUCGGGAUUUCACAUCACGGAAG
rnacentral:lncRNA from 1 species